rnacentral:lncRNA from 1 species
AUCCUUGCUAACACCUUGAUUUUGGACCGCUAGCCUCCAAAAUUGUGCAAGAGUUAAUUCUGUAGUUUUUGCCAUCGAGUUUAUGGUGAUUUGUUACAUCAGCCCCAGGAAAUGAAUUCAUCUGCCUUUUUAAAGAGUUUAAAUUCUAGUAUGGGGAGAUAGACUAUAAACUAAAUAAAGAAGUGAAAUGUAGAGUAUUUUAAAUGGUGAUAAGCUCUAUGGUGAUAAGCUCUAUGGAGAUCAAUAUAGCAGAAAAGAGGGAUAGAAAAUAGAAGUUUUAAGUGACACUAGCAAUAAGAGUUGUAGAAGAAGAGAGUUCAGUAUGGGUUUGAAUAAUAGAAGAAAGCUUCCUAGCAGAGAGGUAUUUAGAGUUUGGAUUUGAAAGAUGGGCAAAAUAUAGGUAGGGGGGAAAUGUCAGGUAAGAGAUUUCAACAGAGUAACUUAUAGUAUUGAUGACUUUAAGUAUGAGCACAUGAGUCUAAUUGGAAGAAAUGUUUUGUGUCAGAUUAAGUCAAAGACUGUCUUGGUUGAAAGACCUGCAGUUCACCUGAUAAAACUGUGAAAUUCUUGAACCACGUAUAGUGACAGGGACACUUCAGAAGCUCCCCCUUCCACUACACUCAGGGUUUACAAGGAUAAAUAAGGGAGAAGCGGGAUUCACUCUCAUUGAGCAUCUUAGUUGGCAGAUUUGUCCCCAAGAGUUCACAGGAGUUGUAUAUCUAACUUCUCUUUAUGUUACUAUAGUUCUGUUCUCUUGACCUACACAGAGAUAUGUGGGUCUUUUCUUCACUAUGUUUACAAUGGUAAGUUUCUUUUUGUUUUUUUUUUUCCCUGCCUGCUGCUUAUAUGGCUUCCAUGUCACUCACCCUCUUGCACAACUGAUCUAUCCAUGAUAUAGUUGCCACAUUCCUCAAGUGUCUGCCAUACUCCAGGACUUUUCAUGCCUUAAUAAAACAGAGCAGGAAAAUCAUUGCAGACACUCUUAGAAACUGUAGUGCACUGUUGGUGCACUACAUUUGUCAAAGCAGACUAUGAAUAUAUUAAGAUUUUGGAUCAACACAGUGUUGUCUAGUCUUGAACUAAGAGCCACCUAAAACUCCAAAGUCAAAAUAUUUUUGACUAUGUAUGUUUCUAUGUAGCCAUAUCUGCCACUUCUAGUGCUACGUGUUAUAUUUUGUAGUCAGUUGUUCUAGCCCAUCAAGAUUUUCACAGACCAUGAUUCUGAUACAAAAAAAACACUCACUGUCGCCUUCAAAUUUUUGUCUAGAAAUUAAGGAAGUAUGCAACUUAUAUUCUUAUCUAAUUCACUGGUAAAUCAAAGUCCAGUACAGAAAGCUAUAUAAUACCAUUUUCAACCUUCCUCUAUGUUGACAUUCACUCAUUGAUGUUAAAUUUUGAGUACAGUCAUUUAAAACAUUAUGUCAUUAUAUGUCAUUUUAAAAUUCUAUUUUCUUUUAUUUCUUUCUUUCUUUUUGUUUUGUUUUUUUUUUUUUUUUUUUUUUUGUCUUUUUGCCUUUUCUAGGGCCACUCCUGCGCCAUGUGGAGGUUCCCAGGCUAAGGCUCUAAUUGGAGCUGUAGCUGCAGACCUAUACCAAAGCCAUAGCAAUGCCAGAUCCAAGCUGCCUCUGUGACCUACACCACAACUCAUGGCAACACCAGAUCCUUAACCCACUGAACUAGGCCAGGGAUCAAACCCACAACCUCAUGGUUCCUAGUCGUAUUCAUUACCCACUGAGCCAUGAUGGGAACUCCUUAAAAUUCUAUUUUCCAUAGGAAUAUCAUAGGACUUUGUCACUUAAUUUAAAUCUACAUAUAUUGCAUUUAUAAAUAUUUGGCCUACCAGUUUAAUUAACUUUUUUUAAAAGAAAAUUGAUAUGAUAUAGCUUGAAUUUCAUUCUUAAAGCGACUCCAUCUGGGAGUUCCCUGUUGGCCUAGUGGUUAAGAACUUGGUAUUAUUACUACUGUGGCUCAGGGUCAAUCCCUUGCUAUGGGCAAGGCUAAUGAUUACUACUUCUGCCUAAACAUUAAUAAAGUAUAUAUUUGAUCAACUGUGGUAGAAGUUUUCUCAGGAAUGUCAGUGUGCCUUUUUUCUUUACCUAAUAUUUUGUCAGAAUUUUUUAAAGUAGCAUUUUCUCUUAUCUAGUUUUCUGGAAUCUUUUAAUUUGCACCAACAUUAAGCAGUAUGUAUUUAACAAGUGCAUCUGCAAGUCACUUCAAUAUCUUGAAAAAUAACUCUGUAACAUUUCUUCUAGAAAGUUAACAAGUUUCUUAGAUAUAAAAACAAAAAUCUGAGUUAAUAUUUACCAAGAAAUAAGGAAAGAAGGCCAACUUACUUGAAAUAAUACAUAAAAUGUUACCAGAAAAUAUUCUGUUAUACCAAAUUGCAGGGAUAUACCAUAAGAUGCUACAAAUUUAGUUCCACAAGAGAAUUAUGUCCUUUAAAUGAAAGUUACUAAAGGAGAUAAACUUCAAUUUUCUCUGUUUUUUUCCCCCUCUAGUGGUAUCUCUUACUAGUUUGCUCCAAAGUAGAGGGGCCAUCUAGAAAUGAAGGAAUCACUUGCAGUGGUCAGAGCAGGCCAUAAAAAAAAGGCAAACUUCUGAUGAAAGAGAUUGGAUAAAGCCACAUGACACAUCAGGAACAUGAUUUGAACACACAGCAAAAGGGUCACAAGUGACUGGCCACUACAACAGAAGUUGUAAUAAACACAGAUAAUAAACAUACAUUUCCACUUAAGGAUUUCUGAAAAAAGCAAAACAAAUAAGAUAAGCUUUAUGAUUGCCUCAGUUUACUUCCUGGAACCAGGUUUCAGGCUGUAGCACAGGAAACUGAAAUAAAGCCUGGAGUGUGGGGGGCAUUGAGUUGAGAAGACAGUGAUCUGAGCUCAGGGAGAUUAAGAAAGUGAGAUUUUUAAAGAGCAGAGUAGUGGAGUGGUGUAAAUAAAUACAAAAGACCUUGGCGUUCUGCAGAGGGAUGUCCGCAAUGAUCUGGUUGAUUUACCCACUUUUAGGGAACAAACAUCCCUGAGUCAGGGAAGAGCCAAGGAAAAGUAGUGAGAAAAUAGUAGGUCGAACAAUUCCCAGAGUUCAAACUUAGGUAGGAAUUUUCCAACCAACCAGAGUGAAAAGACCUUGAAAUACAUAAGACAAAGGGUAGAGUUGUAGAAAGAUCACAUUAAAUAGUAGGGUUAAAUUAGCUCUGUAGAAAUAACUGCUCUGGACCUGCCGUAACAAAACUUAAAAAUAAGUCUCAAUAGGAUCAUACUUAUCCAAGUGUACUCACCUGUGUGCCAGAAUGAAAUCCAACACUCUUUUAAAAACUACAACAAAAUCUAGUACUUGACAACUUAGAAUCCAUAAUUUCCAGCAUAGAAACCAAAGGUAUUCAAAGAAACAGGAAAGUAUGAAAAGGAGAAAAAAAAUCAAUAAACAGACCCUCAAAUAACAUGAUGGAAUUAUUUGACCACAUCCUAAAAAAGCUCAUAUAAAUGUUGUAAAUAUUCGUAAGGAUGUGAAGAGCAACAUCAAAAAACUGAGAAGAGGAAUGAAAGGCAAAUGGAACCUCUAGAUGUAAAAAAUUCAAUAUCUGAAAUGAAAAAUACAAUGGCUAGGAUUAAGACUGGAUUAUACACUGGAGAAGAAAAGGUCAGUGAACUUGAAGACACAAAAAUAGAAUUAUGCAAAAAUAAGCACAAAGAAAAACAUAAUAAAAGAACUAAACGGAGCAUAAGUAAGCUGUGUGACAAUACCAAUUAGUAAAAUGUAUGUGUAAUUGUAGUACCAAAAAAAAGAGAAGGGGUCAGGGAUGGAGCUAAAAGAAACCGAAGAUAUAUUAGGUAAAACUUUUCUCAAAGUUGUUGAUCAUAAUGACUUAUAGAUCCAAUUUUCUCAAUUAACCUCAAGCAAAAUAACUAAGCAAAUGAUAGACAUAAACACAUAUCAAAGCACAUUAUAAUCCAAUUUAUGAAAAACAAUCAUAAAGAUAAAAUCUUAAUAGCUGCCAGAAGAAAAUACACAUUACAUAAAGAACAAAAAUAAGAAUUACAACAUAUUUCUUAAUGGAAAAUAUACAGAUAAAAAGACAACAAAAUGAUACAAAUUUCUAGAUAGACUAUGAUGAUAAAACAGUAGUUUUCACAGUAGUGAGUAGAUACUUUAUACGAAUAACUACCUGUUUAAUAAUCAUAUCUCUCCUAGACAGUAAAUUACAGAAGGGGUAUACCACAUAAAUUUAGUUUUUUAACUCCAAUGGUAUAAACAUAGGACUAUACCUGGAACACAGUAUGGUAUGUGUUUAAAAUAUUUAUUCACUGGGCUACAGAUUAAUAAUGUCUAUAAUCACUGACUCUAAUGGUGUCAUGUUCUUCGAAUCUCUAAACCAGUUAUGGGCAAGGGCAUGGUGGAGAUGGAGGUGGAAUGCACUCAGGUUUAGGUAUGUGUCACAUGCUCCAUCCUAGGAAGUAUAACAUCAGUCAUCUUCAACAAAAACACAGCCACUCAGAACAGGGAAAAGUUAAUAUCCUGUUUGGUUUCCCUCUAGAAGUCAAUCUUGAGCAAAGAUUCAAGUGAAAAGAGUUUGUUUGGAAGGCAACCUCAAGAAAUGGGGGAAGUGAUAAAGUCAGACAGGAAGGGAAGGUAGCCACUAAGUGGUAACUAAUUGAGCAAGUUGCCACUAUUUGUAGCUGAAGCUUCAUCCUACUGAGAAAUUCUGAUUACUCCAUCUGAAAAGAUGGGAAAUUUAUACCCCAAUUCCCAUCACCCAGAUUCUCAGACUCAUUCCUGAAGGAGUUAAUUCCCAAGAGCUCUGUUCUGCCAGACACAAAGACAGAAGCAGCUCUGAAAACCAGGGGAAGUCCCUCAGACAGAGAUGUAGAUGUUGGCACUCAGAAGUUGCACCAUUCUGCACUAAGAUGGUAAAAUACAAGAAGACAUGGGCUGGGUACCAAGAACAUCUAUUACAGGCAACUC